GUCAAGACUAGAGUGUAGACACAGUUGAUGUCCUGGUGUGCUUUAGUCCUUGGAAAGAACCUGGUGGUUUGGAUCCACUGGCAGGGACAAUCAGUGGCCUCCUCAAUGACCAGAUAAGAAGUAUGG
ensembl:snoRNA